rnacentral:rRNA from 1 species
UACGUAGGUGGCAAGCGUUAUCCGGAUUUAUUGGGUGUAAAGGGCGUGUAGGCGGGGACGCAAGUCAGAUGUGAAAACUCAGGGCUCAACCCUGAGCCUGCAUUUGAAACUGUGUUUCUUGAGUGCUGGAGAGGCAAUCGGAAUUCCGUGUGUAGCGGUGAAAUGCGUAGAUAUACGGAGGAACACCAGUGGCGAAGGCGGAUUGCUGGACAGUAACUGACGCUGAGGCGCGAAAGCGUGGGGAGCAAACAGG